UCCGAGUUGACCCCGGCAGUCUCCCAUGAGUCCCCACCACUACGUGCUGGCAACAUGGAACAAGGGUUGCGCUCGUUGCGGGACUUAACCCAACAUCUCACGACACGAGCUGACGACAGCCAUGCACCACCUGUACACCGACCACGAGGGGGCACCCAUCUCUGGAUGUUUCCGGUGUAUGUCAAGCCUUGGUAAGGUUCUUCGCGUUGCGUCGAAUUAAGCCACAUGCUCCGCCGCUUGUGCGGGCCCCCGUCAAUUCCUUUGAGUUUCAGCCUUGCGGCCGUACUCCCCAGGCGGGGUGCUUAACGCGUUAGCUGCGACACGGAAAGGGUUGAAGACCUCCCCACACCUAGCACCCAACGUUUACGGCUGGGACUAC
rnacentral:misc_RNA from 1 species